AGUGAACGCUGGCGGUAGGCCUAACACAUGCAAGUCGAACGGCAGCACAGUAAGAGCUUGCUCUUACGGGUGGCGAGUGGCGGACGGGUGAGGAAUACAUCGGAAUCUACUUUUUCGUGGGGGAUAACGUAGGGAAACUUACGCUAAUACCGCAUACGACCUACGGGUGAAAGCAGGGGAUCUUCGGGCCUUGCGCGAUUGAAUGAGCCGAUGUCGGAUUAGCUAGUUGGCGGGGUAAAGGCCCACCAAGGCGACGAUCCGUAGCUGGUCUGAGAGGAUGAUCAGCCACACUGGAACUGAGACACGGUCCAGACUCCUACGGGAGGCAGCAGUGGGGAAUAUUGGACAAUGGGCGCAAGCCUGAUCCAGCCAUACCGCGUGGGUGAAGAAGGCCGUCGGGUUGUAAAGCCCUUUUGUUGGGAAAGAAAAGCAGCAGGUUAAUACCCCGCUGUUCUGACGGUACCCAAAGAAUAAGCACCGGCUAACUUCG
rnacentral:rRNA from 1 species